AAAACACUGGGGUCCGGAAGCCGGUCCUGCCAACAGUGUCGGAAUUCGAAUCCGAAAGCGCCUACGCGAAGCUCAAGUUGCGAGGAGUCCAGAAGUACAAGAGUUUUGGCCGGAAGGCGGCGGAUCGGGGCCGGAAAGUCGCUGCUCACGCGACACUUCCCAAGGCUGCCGGCAAGGAUUUUUCGACGAAGGAGGGUGGCUUCCGAGGUUUUCGGGGGUGGGGAGUCCGAUCCCGGCGUCUGAUCGCCGAAAACAAGCCGGCAAGAGGCCGAACGGCGAAGACAGCUCCCUACCUUCGGCCAACGUCGGCGGUAGCGGAGAGGAAAGACGCUGGCGAUAGCGGCGGCAGCUUGGCGGCUCGCAGGCGACGGAAACGUGAGGCAACGGUGGCUGCCGGAGGGAGAAGGAAAAAGAGGAGAAGGAGAGGGGAAGGGGAGGGAAAAGAGAGAGAGGGAGGAGAAAA
rnacentral:lncRNA from 1 species